GUUUAUUUUUUAUGUAUUACUCAUUACGUAUGCCACGGCAUUUUAUUUUCACACGGAUUUAGCACAUUAAGUUUAGUAUUAUUUGACUUAAAAUAUUUAAGUCAAAUUUAGCGUUCAAAUCAUUUGUAAGUCCUGUUGUUGCGCUUGUUAACCGAAUUGUUUCCAUUUUUUAUGGUGGUGCACUGUCAAUUGAGCGGACCAUGAUGGAUCAUCGCCAGAAAUGAAGAACCGCGACCAACAAAACAGAAGCAACGACGAUGCAAAGAUACAGUGAAUGUAAGUUUUGCUGGUGUAUACGUAAUUUAAGCAAUAAUGUAAAUAUUUUUGCCCUAGGCGACGAGACAAUAACUUGUAUUGAUCGCCACACCCUAUAUUCAUCUUACUCAGCCGUAACUGAUAUCACCACCUUCAGUAGCUGGAAAUCUCAAUUAUGUAAUCUUCUUUGCCUUAAAUUUCACACAAUAUAUAGCUUGAUUGAAAAUUCGUGUUUAAAAAAAUUAUUGUUACGGCUUUGUUACACAGUUAUUGAGCUAUCAUUCGAAGGCUUUCAGAAAUUAUUGAGGGGGGAGGGGGUGACCCCUGGUGUCCGCCACUUGAGUUCUGUGCGAUAUGCUACACCCUGACUUUUAUGUACUAAAAACUUAAAGACAUUUUAGCAUUCCUAUCUUUAAAACUAUAUUAAGUAAAUGUUUCCUGUAAUAAGUGAGGUGAAAUAUUCAAUCUAUUUUGUUACUAAAGGUUGUUAUAUGGUGUGAAGAGGAAUCCAGCGAGAGUGCCCAAGAUGGAACGACCAGCAGAUGAAGACCUGCAACCGACAGAUCCUACAACAUCGUCCAGACGAGAGUAAAACGUAAGUUUUCAAGGUAAGAGAAAAUCAAAAAUGAUUGCAUCAAAAAUGUGUUUCGUGCCUGGAAGUGACCAUGAAUUUGCUUCUGUAUAAUUUUCUCAUGUAUAUAUUAUUAAAUUCUUAUUAACCGAACGCGAGCUCUGUGCAGAGACCCAGGCCUUCUUUGUACAAACCGAGCCGGGAGGACGAGGUUUGUACAAAAAGACCGAGAUCCGAUCUUUCUCUGUGCAUACCGAGCAAGCGAGGUUAAUAAAAAGUUUAUUAUAUGGCAUUUAUACUUGAAGAAAAACAAGAAAGUCAUGAUUUGAAAUGUAUAUUAGUAGCGUGGUACACAUUUGGUCGAAGAAAACAAAAAAUGCCAAUAUAUUCCUUCCUUUCCACUAAAAACCACUCGCAGAUUUCCUAUUAAUAACAAAUUAAAUUACAAUUUCAAAUUUUCAAUUAGUUUUGCUGUUUUGUUUUAAAAUGCGGAAAUUGCCCCGGGGGGGGGGGGGCAAAGCAUCUAAAUUUCCGACAAAACUUUCAAAUUUCCGACAUAUCCCCCUCCCCCCAUUUGCACUCGAAAAGACUGCUUUUAACCCUCUUUUAGAUCAAAAUUUCCCCCGAUCAAAUUUAGAUCAAAUUUCGACCGCUGAAAGCAUUCUCAGCCAAUCACAGUGCGCCAUUUCAGCGGAAAUGAUGCUUGCCAUAUAAUAAUAAUAAGUAAUAAUACGGUCUCGAGAGUGCAAUUUGGAAAACAUACACUCGUGAUUUUUCCAAAGUUUUCAAAUCGCACUCGUACUUCAUACUCGUGCAAUAUACUUGUGCAUGUUGUUUUCAAAUUGCACUCGGAACGGUACAAAUGCUCAUACCAACAACUAUAAUUUCAAAAAUGAAAUUUUACGUUUACCCUGCGCAGAUCAGGCCUUCCAUUAUCAGGCCUUCCAUCUGGUCACCGCGCCAAUUUUGAUGCGUGCGCAAACAAAAUUUCUCCUUUUUUGUUGUUUCAAAAAGAAGUAAUGGGUUACCGCAUGAUGGCAACACAAAUUCGUCCUACACCCUGCCCCCCUCACUGGAUAUUGCCCUACAACGUCAUGGUUGCCGUAACGUCAUAUGCUCCAUCAGCCUAUACACCUUGACUUUCUAGUUUUAAUUUAGCCGCUUUUAUACGAGAAGACUAGGAGCCACGCGCUUUGAGGGCGGGGUGGAGGAUGGGCGAAAGCAUGCGACGUCAUACUUAGCAAAUGCUAGCCUUAAAUUGACCAAAACCUGCCAAAACCAGUCGAAUAAAAGGUCUAGGGUCGACAUUAUUAAUUAUAUUUAACAGUUAUUCUACGAACUCGAGUGGAAUAUAAGCUAAUAGCGAAUGAGGCACUUCGUUUUUCGGAUAUUUUCAAUAUUUUUCUAUUUUGUUUAUGUAUUUAUCUUCGCUCUUUCGGCCGAUUAUUUAUUCAAAAAUAUAUAUUUUUAGCCAUUUUAAGAAUUCAUUUGCCAACCUGUAAACAAUUUGUGGGAGUUUUUUUUAUUGUGUUUUUAAUCGUGUAAAGGCUAUAUCAAAAGGGAACAAAUUGCCGUUUUCUCUUCGCAAAACGUCGGAAAUUCAGUUUGAGCCGCCAUUUUGUUUUUCUCUACUAGCAGGAUAUGGACUAGUAAUAUCCUGCUGCAAGUAGAGAACCAAUAAGAUUGCAGAAUACCUCAUAUCCAGACCUUGUGUAUAUAAUAAAACAGUUAUUGCACUCACUCUCGUCGAAUAUGAGCGAUAGCCAAUUCGGCGCUAUCAGCCCAUAUUCGACUCGAGUUCGUAGAAUAACUGUUAAAUAUUUCAUGUUUCAAAUGAUCAAUUAAUAUUACCACGCAAUUUGAAAUUGUUGAUUAUGGGAUAAUAAUGCCGUUGAAUUGGGGCCGAAGCCCUUAAUAUUGGAGGACUGCAUGAAUAUCUGUUAAAAAAAUCCUGGCAAUUUACAUGUAGAUAUUAUUCAUUAAGUUCCUUUUCUACCAAAUACCUUUAAUUAACAUGAUUCGAUCAUAUUUCAUGGACUCAUGGAUACUUUUUAAUUUCCAGCAAAAGGUGAUGUGAUGAAAUCAGUUGAUGUGAUGAAAAGAGACGAUGAAAAGUCCAAAAUUCAAAAAGAGCCACUCACAAAUGGCAUGGAGACAAGAAAAGAAUCACGAUUCGCAACAAUCGGAAAAUAAUAGGAAAGUAGCGAAAAUGUUACCAAUGUAAGUUAGUUAAAGACAGAAUACUUAUU
rnacentral:lncRNA from 1 species